CCUACGGGAGGCAGCAGUGAGGAAUAUUGGUCAAUGGACGAGAGUCUGAACCAGCCAAGUAGCGUGAAGGAUGACUGCCCUAUGGGUUGUAAACUUCUUUUAUAUGGGAAUAAAAUGUUCCACGUGUGGGAUUUUGUAUGUACCAUAUGAAUAAGGAUCGGCUAACUCCGUGCCAGCAGCCGCGGUAAUACGGAGGAUCCGAGCGUUAUCCGGAUUUAUUGGGUUUAAAGGGAGCGUAGGUGGAUUGUUAAGUCAGUUGUGAAAGUUUGCGGCUCAACCGUAAAAUUGCAGUUGAAACUGGCAGUCUUGAGUACAGUAGAGGUGGGCGGAAGUCGUGGUGUAGCGGUGAAAGGCUUAGAGAUCACGAAGAACUCCGAUUGCGAAGGCAGCUCACUGGACUGCAACUGACACGGAGGCUCGAAAGUGUGGGUAUCAAACAGGAUUAGAUACCCCGGUAGUG
rnacentral:rRNA from 1 species